rnacentral:rRNA from 1 species
AAGGAUCAUUACUGAUUUGCUUAAUUGCACCACAUGUGUUUUUUAUUGAACAAAUUUCUUUGGUGGCGGGAGCAAUCCUACCGCCAGAGGUUAUAACUAAACCAAACUUUUUAUUUACAGUCAAACUUGAUUUAUUAUUACAAUAGUCAAAACUUUCAACAACGGAUCUCUUGGUUCUCGCAUCGAUGAAGAACGCAGCGAAAUGCGAUACGUAAUAUGAAUUGCAGAUAUUCGUGAAUCAUCGAAUCUUUGAACGCACAUUGCGCCCUUUGGUAUUCCAAAGGGCAUGCCUGUUUGAGCGUCAUUUCUCCCUCAAACCCCCGGGUUUGGUGUUGAGCAAUACGCUAGGUUUGUUUGAAAGAAUUUAACGUGGAAACUUAUUUUAAGCGACUUAGGUUUAUCCAAAAACGCUUAUUUUGCUAGUGGCCACCACAAUUUAUUUCAUAACUUUGACCUCAAAUCAGGUAGGACUACCCGCUGAACUUAA